rnacentral:lncRNA from 1 species
GAUAGCUGACAUGGCGAACUAGUUCUAGAUAAUAAUUUCGUACCUAGCACAACAUUAAAAAGUGGCAUAGCCCGUAAACAGUACAAAAGAAACAGAUAAAUACUGACUGUACCUAGCGCAAGUGGUAAAGAAUUUGGUGGUUGAUAUCCGAGGUUCUAAGUUCGAAUUCUAGUUGAUUCACAUUUCCAGCUAAAUUUAUUUCUAAAUGAAAUAAACAAACCGGAUAAUAUGCUAUCUAUCUCUCUCAAGAAAAAAAAAAGACUCUGAUAAAGGAUAGUAAUUUCAACCACUAACUCACCAACACGAUCGGAAUUGCAAAGUACAU